rnacentral:rRNA from 1 species
AUGGCCGGCUCCUCGCCGGCCUCCCCACCUCCCUCCCAUCCACUCCCUCCGCCUCCACCCGGCCCCCCACCUGCGGCAGCCGUUCGCUUCCCUAUCUCCUUCCGCGAUGCCCUCGUCUCCAACCACCCACCUGCUCCGCCUUCAAGUGCCGCCGCCCCUGCUAGCAGGCUUCAAUCGAUGGUUGUCGCCCCCUCACGCCAAGACCACGCGCGUGCCAGGUUUCCCGGAGCCGCGCAGGAUGCCCAUGCCGGGCAGAGCACUGCGCGUCAUCAAGGAGAUGGGGGUUGGCGCACGGUUCGGAAGCGCUAUUGGUGGCGGGAGGAGAUGCAGCAUCGCCGCAUUAAUGGCAGGAAUCCAAGGCCAACGGCUCCGCGCCCCCUUUCUCGCAUACAGCAUCUCUUCUUAACCAGAGCUGCAGGCUGCUGUUUUCGCUGUCUCUCCCCUCGCCAUCGCGUUGCCUCCUGCCAUAACCCACCUCGGUGCCUCCUCUGCUCGCAAUCUGGGCAUACUUCGCGUGCGUGCCACCUCCACCUCAAGCCCAGGCCAUCUGCCGCCCCGGCCGAACCUGCUUUUCCGGCUUCGUCGGCGGCCCCUCCCGCGUCGGAGCUGAGGACUACCAGUUCUUCGGCUGCCCCCGCCGCUGUCGUCGCCCCCCCACCACCGAUGGAGAACCCGGUGCCCGACGUCAACUUGCGCCCCCGGAUGGUCUCCGCAACGGUCGCUUGGUCUCCGGCGUUGGCCAACGCUGAGCGCGACCUCGAGCACCACGCGGUCAUCACCACCACCCUGGGCAAUCGCCCGUCCUUCACUGUCCAAGACGUCUCCGUCGCCGCCUCCAUGCAGUUCGGAAUUGCUCGCUCCGACUUGCACGUCUCUGUCUUUGAGCCCGGUGACUUUCUCAUACGGUUCUCCGACCGCCGUGUGAGAAAUACCGCGCUCUCGGACACGGCGACGUUGCACAUCGGCCGUGCGGUCAUGCGUCUCUCGGCGUGGUCCAGAAGAGUGGGGGCGACCCUCAUCAGGCUCCCAUACAAGAUCAGGGUGUGCCUGGAAGGCCCGCCACGGCACGCGUGGUCGAUUGAGGGCGUCAAGCAGCUCUUCCCACCGCCGGCCAUCGUCGACCACAUCGAAGAAGAAACUUAUAGCGACGAGGAGUCGGCCUGCUGCUGUGCGUGGGUGUGGGUGCAGGAUGCCACCAAGACCGCCACUAGGGGGUCUCUCACUGUCGAGGAGCCGCCGGAUCAAAGCUCUGCUGACUUCCAUAGGCAGCUGAUGGAGGGGAGCAGCAACGGCGCGGCGACGCGCUCCUACCCCGUCAACCUGCUUGUCUACCCGGUUCUGAUUCACCUAGACCGGGUGUACGACUACACGGUGCAGCCAAAAAUCGACAGCGGUAGAAGCUCCAUCAGCGACAUCAGUGGCAUCCCACCCGACGACGACGGCUCGCCGGUGUACGACGACUGUGCCAAGUGGCACUACCGAUGGACGCUGCGCUUUGAGGACGGAACCUUCCCCGCACACCGCACUGGCAGGCGUCCGGUGCACUCUCGUCUCAACUUCGGUGAUCGCGAUGACCGCGGAGGCUCAUCUGGCGGCAACGACAGAGGCAGGCCGGGCGGCGGAGGCUCCAGCCGCGCCUCUGGUCGGAGAUCCAGCGAUGGCGGCCACCGCGACAACGCUGGCGACUCCUUCAUGCGUGACUCUACCUCCGGCGACCCUAGCUGGCAACGCUGUCUAGGUGCACCAAACGGCGCUGCGGUCAACGUUGCAGCUGAUGAUGGGGCCGGGAGACAGCACGCGUAUGCCUCUACCCAUGUUGAGGGCCACUUGCUGCACUGCCCUGGCGAGGCAGCCUUGCCCGUUGGCCUGAGAGCUGGCCUUCCUGAUGAUCUGGCUCUGCUUGAUGCAGCAACACCGGGCAUGCAGAUUGGGAACCUGGUUCCCACACCUUUGCCUGAGGGACAGAGUGCAGUUGCCAUUCCCAUGUCUCCUGUGGGAACAAGUGUACUGCCGCUCUCUGACCCUGGCAUGGACGACAGGGCUCUGCAUGCGCGUGAGGCUCCGUCCGGAUUGGCCCUGGUCAACUCUGCGAUUGACCCAGAGGUGUCUGAUCCUUGCAUUGCUGUGGGGAACCAGGCCAGACAGUCUCCUCUGCAGCCCACAAAUGAAGCCCGGAGCUCUUUGGGCCGGCCACUUCUGCAACCCACAAGUGAGGCCCAAGGCUCCCUAGCCCCAGCGAUGGAGGACCUCAUUUCCUUUGGGCCUCCUGAGAUCGCUACAUCCCCUGAAGAGAUCCAGCUGCAGUGCUUCGUCAACUCGUUCACCUCGCUCUACCCCACCCCUGUGCUGCCAACGCCGCCGCCAACACCACUGCCACAGAAACACACCCUCACCGACGACCAGCGCCGGAGUGGGCGCCUUGCCGGCAAGCCCAACUACAGACUCAACUCACUGACAAAGGCACAAUCCGUGCUCCUCAAGAAGAAUGGCCAGCUCCCCAAUGAUGAAUCACCGACAACCGAGGCCGAUCUGCAGAAAUACAAGGACCUAUACAAGCGCCCAGUUAGCUCAGAGUUCAUCGCGGCGGUCACCUCCCUCGUCUCCUCCACCGGCAAGCCCAGUAGCUGCGCCGCUGCAAGCAAGGCACCGCGGGCAUCGGCCCCUGGACCUGCGGUACAGUGA